rnacentral:rRNA from 1 species
CCUACGGGAGGCAGCAGUGGGGAAUAUUGCACAAUGGGGGAAACCCUGAUGCAGCGACGCCGCGUGAGUGAAGGAGUAUCUCGGUACGUAAAGCUCUAUCAGCAGGGAAGAAAAUGACGGUACCUGACUAAGAAGCCCCGGCUAACUACGUGCCAGCAGCCGCGGUAAUACGUAGGGCGCAAGCGUUAUCCGGAUUUACUGGGUGUAAGUGGAGCGUAGACGGCAGCACAAGUCUGGAGUGAAAUCGCGGGGCUUAACCCCGGAACUGCUUUGGAAACUGUGCGGCUGGAGUGCAGGAGGGGUAAGCGGAAUUCCUAGUGUAGCGGUGAAAUGCGUAGAUAUUAGGAGGAACACCGGUGGCGAAGGCGGCUUACUGGACUGUAACUGACGUUGAGGCUCGAAAGCGUGGGGAGCAAACAGGAUUAGAUACCCUGGUAGUC